rnacentral:rRNA from 1 species
UAUGGCUCAGGAUGAACGCUGGCGGCGCGCUUAACACAUGCAAGUCGAACGGUUAAAGCACCUCCGGGUGUGCAUAAAGUGGCGAACGGCUGAGUAACACGUGGGCAACCUGCCCCCCGCACCGGGAUAGCCUCGGGAAACCGUGGGUAAUACCGGAUACUCCGCCACCCCCGCAUGGGGGAGGCGGGAAAGCGUACACGGCGGGGGAUGGGCCCGCGGCCUGUUAGCUCGUUGGCGGGGUAACGGCCCACCAAGGCGAUUAUGGGUAGCCGGGUUGAGAGACCGACCGGCCAGAUUGGGACUGAGACACGGCCCAGACUCCUACGGGAGGCAGCAGUGGGGAAUCUUGCACAAUGGGCGAAAGCCUGAUGCAGCCGACGCCGCGUGCGGGAUGAAGGCCCUCGGGUUGUAAACCGCUUUCAGCAGGGACGAGGCGCAAGUGACGGUACCUGCAGAAGAAGCCCCGGCUAACUACGUGCCAGCAGCAGC